rnacentral:rRNA from 1 species
CAGUAGCCGCGGUAAUACGUAGGGUGCGAGCGUUAAUCGGAAUUACUGGGCGUAAAGCGUGCGCAGGCGGUUUGUAAGACAGGCGUGAAAUCCCCGGGCUUAACCUGGGAACUGCGCUUGUGACUGCACAGCUAGAGUAUGGCAGAGGGGGGUGGAAUUCCACGUGUAGCAGUGAAAUGUGUAGAUAUGCGGAGGAACACCGAUGGCGAAGGUAAUCCCCUGGGCCUGCACUGACGCUCAUGCACGAAAGCGUGGGGAGCAAACAGGAUUAGAUACCCCGGUAGUCCCUGUCUCUUAUACA